GAAUGUGAUUUUGAAAAACAUUUGUUUUGUCUUAUAUUGAUAUUUGAUACCUACAGCGAGCAGUGUCCUGCCAAAACACGUGAAGAAGCAGAAUCAGCAUUUU